rnacentral:rRNA from 1 species
UUGCAAAGAGUGGCGAACGGGUGAGUAACACGUGGGAAACCUACCUCUUAGCAGGGGAUAACAUUUGGAAACAGAUGCUAAUACCGUAUAACAAUGACAACCGCAUGGUUGUUAUUUAAAAGAUGGUUCUGCUAUCACUAAGAGAUGGUCCCGCGGUGCAUUAGCUAGUUGGUAAGGUAAUGGCUUACCAAGGCGAUGAUGCAUAGCCGAGUUGAGAGACUGAUCGGCCACAAUGGGACUGAGACACGGCCCAUACUCCUACGGGAGGCAGCAGUAGGGAAUCUUCCACAAUGGGCGAAAGCCUGAUGGAGCAACGCCGCGUGUGUGAUGAAGGGUUUCGGCUCGUAAAACACUGUUGUAAGAGAAGAAUGACAUUGAGAGUAACUGUUCAAUGUGUGACGGUAUCUUACCAGAAAGGAACGGCUAAAUACGUGCCAGCAGCCGCGGUAAUACGUAUGUUCCAAGCGUUAUCCGGAUUUAUUGGGCGUAAAGCGAGCGCAGACGGUUAUUUAAGUCUGAAGUGAAAGCCCUCAGCUCAACUGAGGAAUUGCUUUGGAAACUGGAUGACUUGAGUGCAGUAGAGGAAAGUGGAACUCCAUGUGUAGCGGUGAAAUGCGUAGAUAUAUGGAAGAACACCAGUGGCGAAGGGCGGCUUUCUGGACUGUAACUGACGUUGAGGCUCGAAAGUGUGGGUAGCAAAACAGGAUUAGAUACCCUGGUAGUCCACACGUAAACGAUGAGUGCUAGGUGUUUGAGGGUUUCCGCCCUUAA